rnacentral:rRNA from 1 species
CACGUAGGGCGCAAGCGUUGUCCGGAAUUAUUGGGCGUAAAGAGCUCGUAGGCGGUCUGUUGCGUCUGCUGUGAAAACCCGGGGCUUAACCCCUGGCUUGCAGUGGAUACGGACAGACUAGAGGUAGGUAGGGGAGAAUGGAAUUCCCGGUGUAGCGGUGAAAUGCGCAGAUAUCGGGAGGAACACCGGUGGCGAAGGCGGUUCUCUGGGCAUUACCUGACGCUGAGGAGCGAAAGUGUGGGGAGCGAACAGG